CUUUUUUCCCCAAAGUUCUAAACUCUAGCUCUACUGACUCCUGCCCUAAGCUACUGCUAUCUGGUGUCUGGCGAACCUGGCCUUUCCUACAGUCAAAUACAGGCUACUCCGCCUGCCUCACAUCAUACUAUUCAACUGGGAAUAGAAAUUCUAAACUCUAGCUCUACUGACUCCUGCCCUAAGCUACUGCUAUCUGGUGUCUGGCGAACCUGGCCUUUCCUACAGUCAAAUACAGGCUACUCCGCCUGCCUCACAUCAUACUAUUCAACUGGGAAUAGAAAUUCUAAACUCUAGCUCUACUGACUCCUGCCCUAAGCUACUGCUAUCUGGUGUCUGGCGAACCUGGCCUUUCCUACAGUCAAAUACAGGCUACUCCGCCUGCCUCACAUCAUACUAUUCAACUGGGAAUAGAAAUUCUAAACUCUAGCUCUACUGACUCCUGCCCUAAGCUACUGCUAUCUGGUGUCUGGCGAACCUGGCCUUUCCUACAGUCAAAUACAGGCUACUCCGCCUGCCUCACAUCAUACUAUUCAACUGGGAAUAGAAAUUCUAAACUCUAGCUCUACUGACUCCUGCCCUAAGCUACUGCUAUCUGGUGUCUGGCGAACCUGGCCUUUCCUACAGUCAAACACAAGCUACAC